rnacentral:rRNA from 1 species
CAGUAGCCACGGUAAAACGAAGGGUGCAAGCGUUAAUCGGAAUUACUGGGCGUAAAGCGUGCGUAGGUGGUGGUUUAAGUCCGUUGUGAAAGCCCUGGGCUCAACCUGGGAAUUGCAGUGGAUACUGGGUCACUAGAGUGUGGUAGAGGAUAGUGGAAUUUCCGGUGUAGCAGUGAAAUGCGUAGAGAUCGGAAGGAACAUCUGUGGCGAAGGCGACUAUCUGGGCCAACACUGACACUGAGGCACGAAAGCGUGGGGAGCAAACAGGAUUAGAUACCCCUGUAGUCCCUGUCUCUUAUAC